UACGUAGGGGGCAAGCGUUGUCCGGAUUUAUUGGGCGUAAAGAGCGUGUAGGCGGUUUGGUAGGUCCGUUGUGAAAACUCGAGGCUCAACCUCGAGACGCCGGCGGAAACCAUCAGGCUAGAGUCCGGAAGAGGAGAGUGGAAUUCCAGGUGUAGCGGUGAAAUGCGUAGAGAUCCGGAGGAACACCGACGGCGCAGGCAGCGUCCUGGCCGCUUGCUGACACUGAGGCACGAAAGCUGGGGGAGCAAACAGG
rnacentral:rRNA from 1 species